rnacentral:rRNA from 1 species
UACGUAGGGGGCAAGCGUUGUCCGGAAUCAUUGGGAGUAAAGCGCGUGUAGGCGGCUCGAUAAGUCUGCUGUGAAAGUCCAGGGCUCAACCCUGGGAUGCCGGUGGAUACUGUCGAGCUCGAGUCCGGAAGAGGCGAGUGGAAUUCCUGGUGUAGCGGUGAAAUGCGCAGAUAUCAGGAGGAACACCAAUGGCGAAGGCAGCUCGCUGGGACGUGACUGACGCUGAGACGCGAAAGCGUGGGGAGCAAACAGG